rnacentral:snRNA from 13 species
UUGUUUGCCAGGUAGAGGAGACAUUAUGGUUGUGGAAGGUGGGUUUUCUAGGAUGAAGCCAAUCCUUUGCACUCCAGAUAUGUUGAUCUCUGUAAUUUCCUAGAUGCUGAUCCCUUAAUUUCCAAAGAACCUCAUCUUCAUAAUUUUUGGUAGGAGGACACUGUCUGCACCUUUCCCUG